rnacentral:lncRNA from 1 species
AUGAAGCUAAGAGGUGCCAUAGGAAAAUGCUGGUAUCGGCCUGAACAAGAACUGGGGAAGUCUAGAAGAACAGCUCAGAGAUUUUCUGCAGCCUGGGGAAGCAACAGCAGUGCCUCUUCUCUUAUUUACAUGCUGCAGGCAAAAAUCAGGAAGUUCCUCCUCGGUUUUGUUCCUGUGGUCAUGAGAAUUAGCUGGAUAUCAAUGAACUCAGCCAAAACAAUUUUUUGUCACCUAAGCACCUCUUGCGAGGAGUAUCCUGCUGUGUUCAAGGAUGAAAAUUUGCUUCCAAGCAUGAUUUACCAGGUCCAGCAUCACACCCGUAUUAACAACCAGUGCUGGCUUUUCUCUUCAGCCUGUGCAGUUGAGGUCUUUAUUGCCAGAACUGUUCAAAUAAUUGUGAAAUCACUGCAGACUCACGUCCCUCCAAUACACUAA